UGAAAGUUUAUAUAAAGGGUAUUUAACAAAAGUCUUGGUAAAAGUUUUUAGGACGAAAUAACUCGAAAACUGCAAGGAGAUUUAUAUCUGUGAUUUGUAGGUCUCCAAAAAGAAAACUUAAUUGAAUUAACUAAAAACUGUGAAUUGAAUCAUCUUAGUAACAGAAAUUAUAAUCAAAAGAGAAUUUACAAGUAAUGGCGAAUGAACGUAAAAAUCGGCUUAAAAUUAAUAUAAGUUUGUAAAUAAACUAAAAUGGUAGAAGUCCUUUAGCAAACUAAUUUAAUAAAACAAAGUAACACGAAGUAUAAUGUGCGAAAAAAGGAGAACCACCUUCUAAAAGCUUGAAAACUUUUAACCGAUAGUGAACAAGUAUUGUGAAAGAAAGACUAAAAAAUCCGUAUAAGGAAACACUUAAAUUGAAUAUCCGCAAUGUUUUGAAGUUAGAACAACUACAAAUUGCCUUUUGCAUAAUGAAUCAGCAAGUUAAUAAAUAUUGCAAGUUAAAAGAAAAAUACGAAGAUCGAAGUAAUAUUUUUUAGACCUGAAACCAAGUGAUCCAACCUUAAACAAGCUGAAAACUAGUUAAAUCAAGUUGAAGGGCUGUACUCACAUGUGUAGCAAAACAUGGAGACGAUUUAUGGUUAGGGGUGAAAGAUCAAUCAAACUUGGAGAUAGCCGGUUUUUCACGAAAUGUAUUUAAGUACUACUUAAUUAAAUUAAACUAUAUUUAGAGUAAUUAACUAAUUAAAUGAUGGGGUGUAAAAACUUACUGAAUUUAGUAUAACUCCGAAUUAAAAUUUAAAAAUUAAUUAAAGUCAGUCUUUAAGCGAAAAGGUUUAAAGACAAAAGGAAAACAAUCCAGCUCAUUUAUUAAGAUCUUAAAAUUAUAACUUAGGGAGAAAAAUUUUUAGAAAAUCAAAUGUAUUACUUAGGAUAAGCUUAGAAGCAGCUUUUCAUUAGAGAAAGCGUUUUAGCUCGUCAUUUUUUUCUAAAGAUUUAAAAUAAGGGAGACUAUAAGUUAUAUAUCGAAAUAAUGAAUCAAAUAAACUUUGAUGGUAGUGAAACAUUCUGUAAUUAAAAAAAUUGAAAGAAAUAAAAUCUCAGAAGAGCUAAUGCUGAUAUUAGUAGCGUAAACUAUGUUCUAAAUCAUAGUCACUUUAUACCCAAGGUUUUUAAUGAAAAUUCAGAAACAUUAAGUUAGUCGGUCCUUAAGAAGUAGACGAAAGUUGAAUUCGACAGGAAUUUAAUAUUUAAAACCGUUUGUAUGCAAUGAACAGUGAAAAAAAACUAUUAAGCUAUUAAACUGUAUUAAGGGAGUUAUAAUAAAUUUUAGUUUUUCAAGAAAAAUUACAAUUCAAGGCCGUACUUAAACCAACACUGGAGGGUUAGUUGAAAAAAUUAAAGUGAACGAAAAAAUUGUACUGAAGGAACUCGGCAAAUUGACUCUGUAAGUUCGCAAUAAAGAGAGCCUGCAAUUCAAGUAGGUAGCAUAAAAUGGAGAGCAACGACUGGUUACCAAAACCACAGGACUUUGCUAAUUUUUAAAGAAGUAUAAAGUCUGAUGCCUGCCCAGUACUUAAAAAAGAAAAAGAUGAGUAAAAGCUCAGUUUUGAAUUCUAAGUAAACGGCGGUUCUAACUAUAAGAAUCCUCAGGUAGCGAAAUUCCUUGGCGGGUAAAUUCCGUCCUGCACGAAUGGCUUAACGAUUGCUCUACUGUCUCCAGUACAAAUUCGGCGAAAUUACAAUACCUGUGAAAAUGCAGGUUUCUUGCAGUAAGACGGAAAGACCCUAGAUCCUUUACUUUUAUUUUGUAUUGUAGAUCAUUUUUUAUUGAAUAGCAUAAGUGGGAGUACCAAGUACUUUACUGAAAUACCACCCUGUAGAAAAAAAUUUACUAAAUUAAAUAAAUUUAAGACAGUGCAAAAAAGAAAGUUUACUUGGGACGAGUACCUCCUAAAAUGUAACGGAGGUGUACGAUGGUGGAUGAGAAAUAUAAUGAUAAAACUGCCUGACAAUUAGAUUGAUGAAUCGAAUUGAGACGUAAGUCAGUCAUAGUGAUCCGAUAUUAAAGUGUGGAAUUUAUAUCGCUCAACAGUUAAAAGGAACUCUAGGGAUAACAGAUUCAUCGUGAUUGAAAGUUCACAUUAAUAUCACGGUUUGAUACCUCGAUGUCGACUCAUCUUAUCCUGGAAUAGAAGAAAAUUUCAAGGGUCUAGUUGUUCGCUAGUUAAAAAGGUACGUGAGUUGGGUUCAGAACGUCGUGAGACAGUUCGGUCCCUAUCUACUGUAAGAAAUGAAAAAUGAAAAGAUUAUUUCUAGUACGAGAGGAUCGAAAUAAAUUAACCUCUAGUAAAUUUGAUUGCUAUACCUGUGGCAAGUCUAAUAGCCAAGUUAAUCAAACUUAAGGACUGAAAGAAUCAAAUAGUCUAAAAGUUACUUUUUUAUUUAUCAAGAAUUGUCUAGAAGAUAAUUAGAUUGAUCGGUUAAAAAUAUAUGUUUAGCAAUAAAUAAAAUUUAAGAACACGAAUUUAAUCAGAAACUUUCAAACU
rnacentral:rRNA from 1 species